AACGAACGCUGGCGGCAUGCCUAACACAUGCAAGUCGAACGAGACCUUCGGGUCUAGUGGCGCACGGGUGCGUAACGCGUGGGAACCGGCCCUUAGGUUCGGAAUAACUCCCCGAAAGGGGUGCUAAUACCGGAUAAUGUCUUCGGAUCAAAGAUUUAUCGCCUUUGGAUGGGCCCGCGUUGGUUUAGCUAGUUGGUAGGGUAAAAGCCUACCAAGGCGACGAUCCAUAGCUGGUCUGAGAGGCUGAUCCGCCACACUGGGACUGAGACACGGCCCAGACUCCUACGGGAGGCAGCAGUGGGGGAUAUUGGACAAUGGGCGAAAGCCUGAUGCAGCAAUGCCGCGUGAGUGAUGAAGGCCUUAGAGUUGUACAGCUCUUUUACCCGGGAUGAUAAUGACAGUACCGAGAGAAUAAGCUCCGGCUAACUCCGUG
rnacentral:rRNA from 1 species